GGGUGCGAUCAUACCAGCACUAAUGCACCGGAUCCCAUCAGAACUCCGAAGUUAAGCGUGCUUGGGCGAGGGUAGUACUAGGAUGGGUGACCUCCUGGGAAGUCCUCGUGUUGCACCCC
rnacentral:rRNA from 1 species